AAAACAGUAAAUUUUCUUCUACUAACAUCCAUUUAGUUGAGUUGUUUCUCUAACCUCUCUCAUGAUGGCACAUGCAGUCUUUUUAAUUUCUGGAUCAAGCGGUGUCAAUUCUAAUCCCGAGUUACACAUACGCAAAUAAGAAAUACCUUGGUAGCACUGUAAUUAAAAUAUUACGAGAAAACAAAAAUAAAAAAUAAAAAAUAAAAAAGCAAAACAUUGCAUAAGCGUUGCCUUGUUGAAAUUAUC
rnacentral:lncRNA from 1 species